rnacentral:lncRNA from 1 species
AGGGUAGAUGUGAACCUAACGGUAUGUGUGAAGCUUUGAUGACCACUUGAGGAGAACAAGUGUGGCCCAAUCUUGCGAAAGGUUCUGGUAACUAUCGAUUUGGUGGAAACGAGACACAAAUCAAUCCAGCUUGCGAACAACACGAUUCGAAACCCUGCAAUUCUUUUUAUUAUUUUUUUUGAUAUUUUUCUUUUACUUAGGAGCACUUAAGAAGUAACCACAGGAAAUUUGAGCUUAAACAAGUAAAAGACGUGGCCUGUGGAAAUUUUUGA